rnacentral:lncRNA from 1 species
CACGUUCAAACCUGUUGUUGGGCGGGCGUGCCAUGAGCUGGGAGGAGCGGGAGCCGAGGAUGCUAAGGGCACUCUGUGGAGCAAUUCUCGCUGCAGGGCUGGUCAGGGAGCGUCUGGAUGGUUUGGGGCAACUUCCUGAAUCUCUCUCCCUUGGUUUUUCUCAUUUAUAAAAUGGGAGUAAUGACAGGUUGCUGGGAGUGCCAUGACCACAUACUUUUGGCUUCGUUUCUUUGGCAAGAGUCGUUUUGUGAGCUGGUUCCUAGAUAAUGAGGACCUGUGAGGAGUCCCGGCCCGCCGACAGCCUCAGCACAGGGUCACUGCCACGUGGGACCCAGGCCAGAGACAUCCUGCCUCCUAGGAAUGGAUUCCAGAGGCCCUGGUCACUGACCAGCACACCUGUGGGUGAGACACAAACCCCCUCCUCCCACACGGAGCCAGCACUGUCUUUGCAUUGUAUAUUUUGUAUAAAAAGAGCUCCAAUGUGGGAGCAUUUCCUUUUUUUGUCUAAAAUUGUCCAGAUUGUUAACACCAUCAUUAUCUGGACCCAGUUAAUUACAUUCAAACUUGCUUUUGUCCUAAGCGAGAGUUAUUUCUGCGACUUCUUACACACAGUUUCCUAAACACAGCGAAGAAAACACUAGCCUGGAUUUCAUCUUCAGCUCCUCAUCUUUACAAAGAAGGUACCAGCUGUUUGUGAACCCGCAGGGCAUUAAACGCGCAGGAGCCUUGGACGGGAGCAUGGAGAGAGAAAUCCACAGGUUCCACCCAGGCUUUCUGAGCAAACAAAACCAGGGAAGGCAAACACAGGCCUUUUGUUCUGACCCCAUGGUUCUAGCCAAGCGCUGCUUCGCUAAGGUUGACCUCACAGAGCUGAAGAGUGUGGCGUGAAUUGCCAAGUUGACUGGGGCCAUCCUGUGUGCCAGGGGACUUGGCCCUCCUCCCAUGGCCAGUUUGCCUCUCACCUUCACACCCUGCCUCGCGGCCCAGGGGCCUCGGCGCAGGUGGGGUGAGGGAGACAUCAGCAGGCUCCAUCUCCCAGCAACAGGGUCGCUUUGAUGGGUGCAGUUUCUGAGCCCGCUCAGCCAAGAUCAGUAAUAGCUUCCUCCUUCUCCUCCCCCACACAGACCUAGAUAUGUUUUCUUCUACAUGUAAGUUAUUGAAAAUAGUCAAAGGCUCAUCAAGACUUUGAAGAAAUUCUUUCUUAUGAACUCUUGUCCUUUUAAUUAGCAGGAAGUAAAUUCAUGUAAAACAGUUUUGCGAUCGCACAAGCAGAUAGGAGGCGAUCAGAAAAUGUGCUUAUCCUCAUCUCCCAGCUUGACUUUCGUAUUGCGGGGAAGUCCUUCAUCCUUCUAUCAACACUUUCUUUAUUCCUGCCUCAAAUCCUGGCUGCUUAUUUAAUCUGAUGAAAGUCUUCUUUGCCUGUGUCUGCUCUAACCCCAGAUAUGUGCAAUCAUAUAAAAUGGAUUCAUGUGUGGCUCUCUUGCUGCUGUGCCUAAGCCUGACAUUCUGGGUCACAUGCACUGGAGAUGCAGGACAGGCUUCUAAACCACGUGAACAGAGAGUGCGGACACACGGCUUGCCUUUAUCUCCGUCCCAGGGUUCACAAGAUCAAUCACAAUAUUGUUCCCGCUGACCCUGGGAGGAAAAGUCAUGAAACCCAACCCAUGCCCCGUCCUCCCAGGGAGUUCGGGAAGAAAAUUGCAGUCAAAGAUUGAAGGAACAAGGACUGGAAGGGGAAUUGUCCCUGGAAACCAAUCUGCAGGCGGCUUCCUUUUCUCCCGAAACAUGCCUUUUUUACUUUUGAGUCGCGGUCUCACUCUGUCAGCAGGGCUGGGACGCAGUGGCAUCCCAAAUUGCUUGGAUUACAGUUGUGAGCCACUGGCUCCCAGGUCCAAAACAUGCCUUUUAUUUUUAUUAUUAUUUAUUAUUAUAUUUAUUU